CCCGGUCUAGCGAGGGGGGAAAAUUUGGGAAGGCGAGAUGACGCGUUAUCCGUCUUAGUCUCUCUCUCUCUGAGCACGUGAUCCAAAGUAGAUAUUGUCAUAUAUCAGUUCGGAGCACUUCGCAGACGUAGGAGGGGUUCUCUCUUAGGUAAGAUCGGGGACGUUCAGGCGAUUGGUUUGCAAACACCGCAGAAACAUUAUGAAAAUCAAUUGCAGAUUUGUAUUCGUUUUUCUCUCGUCACUCCCCUUCUCUCCAUACCACAGCACGAGCAAAGGAGGAGAGAGAGGGUUGGGGUGGGGUGGGCGGUGGGAUGGGCGAGGGUGGUGGCUGGGAGGGGGUAAUUGUAUUUUUUUCUAGCUGCUGCUCUUUUUUCCCCCAGGAUUGGGGGAAGGAGGAGGGCUCUCAUGUAUGGGGGUCUUGCCUCCUCUCUGUGAGCAGCACCAGGAGGGUGGGAGUGAGGACUUCUUUCCCCACUGCCUGAUUUCCCCAGAGAAGUGAAUCCUUUCCCUUAAAUCUCAGGGACUCUUACCCUUCCAACCCGCAGAGACACCGCCUGUUCACAAGAGUUUGAAGAAGUCCACUCGUUUCCUGGCCAGAGCUGGGUGUCAAGACUACCUUUCUGGAGUCCUUAGAGAGACUCCCGGAAGAGUAUCUGAAGUUUCCCAAAGCCUCCAGGCCCUGCCUUCUGCCUGCACAUUCUGCCCUGAUUUCCGGAACCUGGAAGCCUAGGCAGGCAGUGGGGAACUCUGACUCGCCUGUGCUCUGAAGCUUGAUCCGAAAGCUUCCACAGUGAGGACUGCUCCGUGGGGGUAAGAGAGCACCAGGCACUGAGGCCUGGGAGUUCCACAGACCAACACCCCUGCUCCUGGCGGCUCCCACCCGGGACUUAGACCCUCAGGUCCCUAAUAUCCCGGAGGUGCUCUCAAUCAGAAAGGUCCUGCUCCGCUUCUCAGUGGAAUGGAACGGAUUUAGAAGCCUGCAGUAGGGGAGUGGGGAGUGGAGAGAGGGAGCCCAGAGUUACAGACGGCGGCGAGAGGAAGGAGGGGCGUCUUUAUUUUUUUAAGGCCCCAAAGAGUCCGAUGUUUACAAGACCAGAAAUGCCGCGGCCGCGUCCUGGCAGAGAAAAAGGCUGAAAUGGAGGACCGGCGCCUUCCUUAUAAGCUCGUUGGGGCCUGAGCCAGUACCGACCUGGUAAAAAAAGCAACCACGAAGCUAGAGAGAGAGCCAGAGGAGGGAAGAGAGCGCCAGACGAAGGUGAAAGCGAACCACGCAGAGAAAUGCAGGCAAGGGAGCAAGGCGGCAGUUCCCGGAACAAACGUGGCAGAGGGCAAGACGGGCACUCACAGACAGAGGUGAGUGAUUAUGCAGUGGGACCCUGCUGCAAACGGGACUUUGCACUCUAAAUAUAGACCCCAGCUUGGGACAAAAGUUGCAGUAGAAAAAUACACAUAGGAGAACACUUAAAUAAGUGAUGCAUGUAGACACAGAAGGGGUAUUUAAAAGACAGAAAUAAUAGAAGUACAGAAGAACAGAAAAAAAACUCAGCAGAUGGAGAUUACCAUUCCCAAUGCCUGAACUUCCUCCUGCUAUUAAGAUUGCUAGAGAAUUGUGUCUUAAACAGUUCAUGAACCCAGAAGAAUGCAAUUUCAAUGUAUUUAGUACACACACAGUAUGUAUAUAAACACAACUCACAGAAUAUAUUUUCCAUACAUUGGGUAGGUAUGCACUUUGUGUAUAUAUAAUAAUGUAUUUUCCAUGCAGUUUUAAAAUGUAGAUAUAUUAAUAUCUGGAUGCAUUUUCUAUGCACUGGUUUUAUAUGCCUUAUGGAGUAUAUAUUCACAUGUAGCUAAAUAG